UCAACCCUUCAUAAAUGUAACACACAAGCUCUAACUGGAAAAAAGAAAACUAUUGGGAAUAUUUUCCUCAUUUCACCUUAUUUAGUUAACAGGGGAAUCUUCAGCAGACCACAGUGCCUCUGUGUGUUCCUAGCAACGAGAAACCAUGGCAGAGCGCGGCCUGGAGCAGCAGCCUUCUGCGUUUGCUCAUCUGUGAUGAGGUGCAUUGACGCUAGGGAUUUGUGAGUCUGAAGAUAUAAAGUUCUACUUGCCUGCCACUGGGAAAUCUUCUCUAUGCUAAGCAGAGACCUUCUUCAUCUGAAAACUGCUGUAAAAUUGAAAGCUCUUAAGUCAAAAGCUGACUGCUUCCUGCUGCUGCUUCCCAGCUCCCCCAGAGCACGGUGCUGCUUUCUGCCCAAUGCCUCUCACUGCACACUAUCGUCAAACUGAAAGGAAACCAAAGAGAGAGAUGGAGAGACACCACAGCAAUAGAGCUUUCUCCGGUGCUGUGCUUCUUCCCAUGCGUGGAACCUGAGCUGUGCUGGAGCUGUGUGCGUGACAAGACACACCC